UCACUUCUGUUGUCAUAAAGGUGAUGCAGCACAAUGGGAGAUGAAGAGGGGCCGCAGAUGCUGCAUGUCUACUUCGAGCAGGAAGGACGUGGUGGUGAUUCUGGUGUGGCGCCUUCGCCAUCUCCGCCAGACAUUGCACUGCUGAUAUCUCCGGAGAGGAUGACCAGGACUUCCUCGAAGAGGUUCUGAUUGCCAGAAAGGCAAAAGGUGGCAAAAAGUAUGCAGAAAUUUAGUAGAAGAUUGCACUCUCCGGAGCAGAAAAGAAUGCACUAUCGAGCAAGAUCCUUAUACAACAUAUGCUGACGGAGAAAGAUAGUUCCAAAAUGCAGCCGAAGAUUUCGAAUUAAAUGUUUCUUGCCCAGUAGAGAGCGCUGGCAGAUUCAAACUAUUACAGGAAGUGUAGGAAGAUAAAAAUUACACCGGAGUAUCUUGAGUAGGCCUGGCUUACCAUUGGCUUCAACUACUUCAUCCUUGACCUCCUCCCUCCCUGUUGUGUCAUGGAGUCGAAUUCAUUAUGCGAACGCGUUGGUGUUUUUUUCUUCGACUCCAUGGGUUUAGGCUUCCACUUCUUCCGCUCUUGCUGCCGUGCGAUGGCGGCAACCAUGCUGACGGUGGCUUCUUCGACUCCGUGGUUUUGGUGAGUCUCUAGUUCUCCCCUUGUCUCCUGUACUUGGUCAUUACAGAAAAUGUCCAUUGGCUCGCGGUUGUGAUGGAUCAAAUAAUAUUAGCUUUGUGACUUCUGUUUUGCAUAAGCCGUAGAUGCAAUGAUAUUGCUUCUGCUAUUUUCACUUGAAUUGGUGGAAUGU